AAUGCCUAUUAACAAUACGCUGUGGACAUCAAGAUAUCCCAAGCUUGCAGCCAUGGCUCAUAGUUCACACAGAGGAUACCCAGAAGGAAAUCAAAUUUAUCACAAUGUUUAUUACAACGAACACGGGAAGAAAUUUAUAGAUUAUUCAGGUGGAAUGGAAAACGACGCAUAUUAUCAUACAUACGAAAAUAAACACUCAUUUUCAUCAAGCGAUUUCUUGUCGCCGGCUAAUAAUGAUUUCCGACUAGAAUGUACAGCUAAAGAAUGGGCGG